CUUACAGAAAACUCACAAGCACACAUGGACAAGGAGACAAACUAAAAAAAAUCAGCAAUGCUAACUUUGUCAAUGGAUGCCAGUUUGCUGACCUGCUGAUGAGAAUUCUUCAGCUUUAAAUAUGUAGGAGAAUGAAGGAAGCAGUGGGUGAGUUGCAUUAGAAUUCAGGAAAAUUGGUUUGUAGAUCUGGCCCUGUCACUACAGUCCCAUUGAAGUGACUUUGAUUUUUGGGAUCUCAACUUCCACAUUUGUAAAAAAAUAAGCCAUUUGACUAUUGUUUGAAAUAAAGAAGUCUCUGGGCUAUAAUUUUGAUAUAUC
rnacentral:lncRNA from 1 species